rnacentral:rRNA from 1 species
GGCCUCUCGGGGUCCGAGUUGUAAUUUGUAGAGGAUGUUUUGGGUACCGCCCCGGUUUAAAUUUCUUGGAACAGAAUGUCAGAGAGGGUGAGAAUCCCGUCUUGGACCGGCGGUAGGGCCUAUGUAAAACUCCUUCGACGAGUCGAGUUGUUUGGGAAUGCAGCUCAAAAUGGGUGGUAAAUUUCAUCUAAAGCUAAAUAUUGGCCAGAGACCGAUAGCGCACAAGUAGAGUGAUCGAAAGAUGAAAAGCACUUUGAAAAGAGAGUUAAACAGUAUGUGAAAUUGUUGAAAGGGAAGCGCUUGCAACCAGACUUGAGCGCGGCGGUUCCCCUAGCCUUUUGGCUAGGUUACUCCGCCGUGUCCAGGCCAACAUCGGUUCUGAGGGUCGGUCAAAGGCCUUGGGAAUGUAUCUACCUACGGGUAGACUUAUAGACCAGGGUGUCAUGCGGCCUCUCGGGACCGAGGAACGCGCUUCGGCUCGGAUGUUGGCGUAAUGGUUGUCAGCGACCCGUCUUGAAACACGGACCAAGGAGUCUAACAUCUAUGCGAGUGUUUGGGUGUCAAACCCAGAACGCGGAAUGAAAGUGAACGGAGGUAGGAAGCUUCGGCUGCACUAUCGACCGAUCCUGAAGUUUACGGAUGGAUUUGAGUAAGAGCAUAGCUGUUGGGACCCGAAAGAUGGUGAACUAUGCCUGAAUAGGGUGAAGCCAGAGGAAACUCUGGUGGAGGCUCGCAGCGGUUCUGACGUGCAAAUCGAUCGUCAA